CAGUGGCCGCGGUAAUACAGAGGGUGCGAGCGUUAAUCGGAUUUACUGGGCGUAAAGCGUGCGUAGGCGGCUUCUUAAGUCGGAUGUGAAAUCCCUGAGCUUAACUUAGGAAUUGCAUUCGAUACUGGGAAGCUAGAGUAUGGGAGAGGAUGGUAGAAUUCCAGGUGUAGCGGUGAAAUGCGUAGAGAUCUGGAGGAAUACCGAUGGCGAAGGCAGCCAUCUGGCCUAAUACUGACGCUGAGGUACGAAAGCAUGGGGAGCAAACAGGAUUAGAUACCCCAGUAGUCCCUGUCUCUUAUAC
rnacentral:rRNA from 1 species